GAUUUUUUCUACCUUAUAAAUAUCUUAAACAAGCUUUUUGAUUCCAUUACAUUCAAAGGAUGUAAAAUAUGGAUGGAAUUUUGAAGUUUGUUUACGCUGUGAUACUUUUUCUUUCACUAUUUCUUGUUGUAACGAACGUGGAAUCCGCUGAUUGCGAUUCUGACUAUAAUUGCAAAGAACAGUUGAGGGCGAGUUGAGUUGUAUCUUCGGAAGGGUGAGAUGUUUUGAGGGUUCGUGUUAUUGCCCUCAGUUUUGUAGGAUGUGCAAAAAGUACAACUAGUGUACACAUGCAACAGAGUAAAAUUUAGAUCUAUUUUACGUUUAAAUUAUAAAUGUUAUGUUUAGAUAUUAAAAAUGUAUCUUUGUAUUAAUUUUUGAUGUCUGAAAAAUUCUUCACAAAGUUGUGAAGACUCUACGUGUAUCCACACCGAUAACAAUUAUUACUCUCAACUUCUGAGUAGUAGAAGAAGAAAACUAGAGCAUAUUUGUGUUUUGUA